CCCUCCGUCCCCGAAGGGCGUGAAGGGCUCCGCGCCCUUCCUCACCUCAGGACGCGGGCGGCUCCCGCCUUGCGGCGACCCCUCACGGGAGAGGGGGGGCGGUGGCUCCCGCCCGCCGCCAGCGCAGCCCCCUGCCCGCCCGAGCUCCGCCCGCUCGCCGCCCCACCUCCCGCCCGGGUGCCGGAGGAGCCGAGGAGCCGGGCAGCCCGGCGGGUGAGCGCUGCACCAUGAGCGCCGAGUGCAGCAGCUACCUCAACGCCGACAAGGUGCUGGUGAGCGGGUUCAGCUGCCCGCGGACGGGCGGCGACGCCAGCGCUGUGUACUGCUGCGGCUUCCAGGACGUCAAGUACUGCUGCGAUGACCCGCACAGCUUCUUCCCCUACGAGCACAGCUACAUGUGGUGGCUCAGUGUUGGAGCACUUGUGGGCCUGUCGAUAGCAGCAGUGGUCCUCUUUGCUUUUAUCAUCACUGUGUGUGUUCUCUGUUAUUUGUUUAUCAGCACGAAGCCACGCAGCAAACUGGAUACUGGUUUAAGCUUACAGAUGGCAGACAGUGAGACCAGAGGGAGUUCAAUAUGUUAAAAAAGAAACAGAGGCACUGGAUGGAUUCUACCAGUGGUGUCAUGAAAAUAGCACCAUUGUGCCUUGAGCCUUCACAUGUAAGGUGAAAUCCUCACUUUCACAGAGGAGAAGCAACAGCAGACCUACCCGUCCACGUACAUCCACAGAGGAGCCAUUUAGUGUUUCAUAGUUGUAGUGAUGCCCUUCAGAGGUGCAAUUUUUCGCAUGAUAAAAUAAUGACAUGCUUGGAAAGAAGUGAUGCCAGUGAAACAGAUUGAACUGUGUGGUUUGGUCUAGAUUUGUUUGCAGGAUCUUCUUACCAAUUCUGCUGUGCAGCAAGUUAAAAGGUCUUCCUCUGUUCAGGCUAAUUCUAAACUCUGACUGGUAUUUUGCAGAUAAGAGAGCUGCAUCCUUCGCAAGGCCCCCACCAAAACAAGCUGUUGACAAAGCCAAGUGGCUUGAAGAGAUUUCCUGAGCCGCAAGGAUGGACUGUGACUGUAAGCCACAAGAUCCUGACUCACUCUGCCAGAGGAGUUUCCUGGCUGUUACAACCACUGUUGAUAACCAGAGGCCAAUCUAAAGCUGUGCCAGGAUAUGUAUUUGUGUAUGGUUUCAGUACUGAGAAGUAGUAAACUUUGAUUUGCACACACCAGCUCCUGCUGCUAGUCAUUUUCAUGUAAAAUGUUGUCUUUACCCUGUGCAGUUCCAGUGAGGUAACACAGUUGUCAAGCAGAACAGAAUCUGGCACACCAUGUUGACCAAGCUUUGUUUUAAGCUUUCCCUGUAUGCCGUCUUCAUGUGCUGUCUCUGCAUCACGAAUAUGAUUGUCUUUUAGCCAAGUGUAAUUGUUCGGUACACAAACAGAUGUGAACGCAGUACCUCAAUAAAAUCUGGCAUUUGCUGUGUUGUAUUCUUAA